CCAGCCUCGCCGCGCCCCCGCCCCUGGGCUCUGGAAACGCGCGGUCCCGCUAGCCUGAAGACCAGCUGAUGGCCGCGGAGCCCACUCCGGAUCUGCACCAGCUAGGCCCCUGGCCCCCAGAGCUGGCCGUUACUGCACUGUCUCUAGUCCCGGCUUUAAACUGGAGGAAGGGAGCUGAACGGAACCUUCGAGCUUUUGACCUUAGGAAGGCUGAGAAGGUCCUACAGCACACCUGGAGACUUCUCUGCACCUCACCUGCUUUGUGAUAGUAAUCACAAAGGACAUGGAUAACAAGUCAACACACCCUUUUGUCUUUGCUACUUAGCAAGUGUCUUGCUGUACCCCUGCACCCAUCAAACUGAAAGACUGAUGUUGCAGAAAGCCAGGAGUGACCAGUCACCCCAGUACUCAGGAGACUGAGGCUGGGGGUUCGUGAGUUACAUAGGACAACCUGGACUGUAGAGUGAGCCUGUGAGUAUGGAAGAUGGAGUGCUACAAAGAAAGUGGAGACAUUGAAUACAAUCAUGGGAGAAAAAUAUCUUGUAACCACAAAUCUAAUUUCUUUUUUUUUAUAUUUAUUUAUUUAUGUAUAUGACUACACUGUA